rnacentral:rRNA from 1 species
GCGAGCGUAUCGGAUUAUUGGGCGUAAAGAGCUCGUAGCGGUUCAACAAGUCGGGUGUUAAACCCCCAGGCUCAACCUGGGGCCGCCACCCGAAACUGUUGUGACUAGAGUUUGGUAGGGGAUCACGGAAUUCCUGGUGUAGCGGUGGAAUGCGCAGAUAUCAGGAGGAACACCAGCAGCGAAGGCGGUGAUCGGGGCCAAUACUGACGCUGAGGAGCGAAAGCGUGGGGAGCGAACAGGAUUAGAUACCCUGGUAGUCCACGCCGUAAACGGUGGGCACUAGGUGUGGGGACUUUUCAACGGUUUCCGCGCCGCAGCUAACGCAUUAAGUGCCCCGCCUGGGGAGUACGGUCGCAAGAGUAAAACUCAAAGAAAUUGACGGGGGCCCGCACAAGCAGCGGAGCAUGAGGCUUAAUUCGAUGCAACGCGAAAAACCUUACCUAGAUUUGACAUGCAGGGAAAAGCCACAGAGAUGUGGUGUCCUUCGGGGCUCAGCACAGGUGGUGCAUGGCUGUCGUCAGCUCGUGUCGUGAGAUGUUGGGUUAAGUCCCGCAACGAGCGCAACCCUUGUUCUAUGUUGCCAGCACGUAAUGGUGGGGACUCGUAGAAGACUGCCGGGGUCAACUCGGAGGAAGGUGGGGACGACGUCAAGUCAUCAUGCCCCUUACGUCUAGGGCUGCACACAUGCUACAAUGGGCGGUACAGAGGGCUGCUAAACCGCGAGGUGGAGCCAAUCCCUAAAACCGCUCUCAGUUCAGAUUGCAGGCUGCAACUCGCCUGCAUGAAGUUGGAGUUGCUAGUAAUCCCGGAUCAGCA